rnacentral:rRNA from 1 species
AACGAACGCUGGCGGCAUGCCUAACACAUGCAAGUCGAACGAGACCUUCGGGUCUAGUGGCGCACGGGUGCGUAACGCGUGGGAAUCUGCCCUUGGGUUCGGAAUAACUCGCCGAAAGGCGUGCUAAUACCGGAUGAUGUCGUAAGACCAAAGAUUUAUCGCCCAAGGAUGAGCCCGCGUAAGAUUAGGUAGUUGGUGAGGUAAAGGCUCACCAAGCCGACGAUCUUUAGCUGGUCUGAGAGGAUGAUCAGCCACACUGGGACUGAGACACGGCCCAGACUCCUACGGGAGGCAGCAGUGGGGAAUAUUGGACAAUGGGCGAAAGCCUGAUCCAGCAAUGCCGCGUGAGUGAUGAAGGCCUUAGGGUUGUAAAGCUCUUUUACCCGGGAUGAUAAUGACAGUACCGGGAGAAUAAGCCCCGGCUAACUCCGUGCCAGCCGCCGCAGUAA